AUCCAGCUGAAGAGUCCCAAAUAGGACGAAAUGCGCGUCCUGGAU
rfam:Schistosoma rodhaini strain Burundi genome assembly, scaffold: SROB_scaffold0002291